rnacentral:rRNA from 1 species
CGAAGAAGGACGUUACUAACGACGAUAUGCUUUGGGGAGCUGUAAGUAAGCGUUGAUCCAGAGAUUUCCGAAUGGGGAAACCCAACAUGAGUUAUGUCAUGUUAUCGAUAUGUGAAUACAUAGCAUAUCAGAAGGCAGACCCGGAGAACUGAAACAUCUUAGUACCCGGAGGAAGAGAAAGAAAAAUCGAUUCCCUGAGUAGCGGCGAGCGAAACGGGAAGAGCCCAAACCAACAAGCUUGCUUGUUGGGGUUGUAGGACACUCUAUACGGAGUUACAAAAGUAUAUAUUAGACGAAUCAUCUGGAAAGUUGAAUCAAAGAAGGUAAUAAUCCUGUAGUCGAAAAUAUAUACUCUCUUGAGUGGAUCCUGAGUACGACGGAGCACGUGAAAUUCCGUCGGAAUCUGGGAGGACCAUCUCCUAAGGCUAAAUACUCUCUAGUGACCGAUAGUGAACCAGUACCGUGAGGGAA